GAUGAACGCUGGCGGCGUGCUUAACACAUGCAAGUCGAACGGAAAGGCCCAAGCUUGCUUGGGUACUCGAGUGGCGAACGGGUGAGUAACACGUGGGUGAUCUGCCCUGCACUUCGGGAUAAGCCUGGGAAACUGGGUCUAAUACCGGAUAGGACAAUGGUUUGGAUGCCGUUGUGGAAAGUUUUUUCGGUGUGGGAUGAGCUCGCGGCCUAUCAGCUUGUUGGUGGGGUAAUGGCCUACCAAGGCGUCGACGGGUAGCCGGCCUGAGAGGGUGUACGGCCACAUUGGGACUGAGAUACGGCCCAGACUCCUACGGGAGGCAGCAGUGGGGAAUAUUGCACAAUGGGCGCAAGCCUGAUGCAGCGACGCCGCGUGGGGGAUG
rnacentral:rRNA from 1 species